UACGUAGGGUGCAAGCGUUGUCCGGAAUUAUUGGGCGUAAAGAGCUCGUAGGCGGCUAGUCGCGUCGCUGUGAAAACCUGGGGCUCAACCCCGGGCCUGCAGCCGAUACGGGGCUAGCUAGAAUUCGGUAGGGGAGACUGGAAUUCCUGGUGUAGCGGUGAAAUGCGCAGAUAUCAGGAGGAACACCUGCGGUGUAGACAGCUUUCUGGACCAUCACUGACGCUGAGACACGAAAGCGUGGGUAGCAAACAGG
rnacentral:rRNA from 1 species